rnacentral:rRNA from 1 species
CAGUCGCCGCGGUAAUACGUAGGUGGCAAGCGUUGUCCGGAAUUAUUGGGCGUAAAGCGCGCGCAGGUGGUUUAAUAAGUCUGAUGUGAAAGCCCACGGCCCAACCGGGGAGGGUCAUUGGAAACUGGGAAACUUGAGUGCAGAAGAGGAGAGUGGAAUUCCACGUGUAGCGGUGAAAUGCGUAGAGAUGUGGAGGAACACCAGUGGCGAAGGCAACUCUCUGGUCUGUAACUGACGCUGAGGAGCGAAAGCGUGGGGAGCGAACAGGAUUAGAUACCCCUGUAGUCCCUGUCUCUUAUAA